rnacentral:rRNA from 1 species
GACGAACGCUGGCGGCGUGCUUAACACAUGCAAGUCGAACGGAAAGGCCUGCUUUCCCUUGUGGAUUGCGGGUACUCGAGUGGCGAACGGGUGAGUAACACGUGAGUGAUCUGCCCCCAACUUGGGUAUAAGCCUGGGAAACUGGGUCUAAUUCCCGAUAGGACUGCAGGGUGGUGCCUGUGGUGGAAAACGAUUUUCUAGUGGUUGGGGAUGAGCUCGCGGCCUAUCAGCUUGUUGGUGGGGUAAUGGCCUACCAAGGCGGCGACGGGUAGCCGGCCUGAGAGGGUGGACGGCCACAUUGGGACUGAGAUACGGCCCAGACUCCGACGGGAGGCAGCAGUGGGGAGUAUUGGACAAUGGGCGGAAGCCUGAGGCAGCGACGCCGCGUGGGGGAUGACGGCCUUCGGGUUGUAAACUCCUUUCGACCGCGAGGAAGCCACCUGGUUGGAAGGGUGGUGACGGUAGUGGUAGAAGAAGCACCGGCUAACUACGUG